AGGUAGUCUGCUGUCCAGACCUCACAAAUGAACUCUGCCCAGGUCUCUGACUCUGCCUCGGUAGUCCUCUCUGCCCUGUCUGCUGAAAUUCCCUCUGUCUCUUGCUACUUGUCUGAGAUACAGAGGAUUGUCCCUGAUACUGGCUCUGGCUCCUCUUCUGCUGCCCUUUCUGCUUUCUACUUUGCUCUUCUUCUUUAAUUCGCUCCAGGCUGUGAGCCGUCUCUACUAAGACU
rnacentral:lncRNA from 1 species